rnacentral:rRNA from 1 species
GACGAACGCUGGCGGCGUGCUUCAUACAUGCAAGUCGAACGAGAAGCUGACUUCGGUCAGUGGAAAGUGGCGGACGGGGGAGUAAUAUGUAGGAAAUCUGCCUUUAGGAGGGGGACAACAGAGGGAAACUUCUGCUAAUACCCCAUAUGAGCGUAGCUGAAAUGCUAUCCUUGAAAACUCCGGUGCCGAAAGAUGAGCCUGCAUCUGAUUAGCUAGUUGGUAGUGUAAUGGACUACCAAGGCGACGAUCAGUAGCUGGUUUGGGAGGAUGAUCAGCCACAAUGGGACUGAGACCCGGCCCAUACUCCUACGGGAGGCAGCAGUAGGGAAUUUUGCGCAAUGGGCGAAAGCCGGACGCAGCAACGCCGCGUGAACGAUUAAGCCCUUCGGGGUGUAAAGUUCUGUCAGUGGGGACGAAACUUGACGGUACCCACAGAGGAAGCACCGGCUAACUCCGUG